rnacentral:misc_RNA from 1 species
UUAAUUUCGUUUUAAAAAAUCGUAUCAGACUUCAGUAAUCCGCGUGGGUUUGCAAUGCCGACCCGCGGCCAACAGGCGGUACCUCGCUAAAUUAAUAGCGAGGGCGCCCGAGAGCCAAGGGCCGAAACGAUGUGAGUUGCUUUCGCGUCUCAUGACAAAGGGCGGGUGAGUGGACACGAGGUCCUAAACCCAGUAAUGAUCCUUCCGCAGGUUCACCUAUGAUGUUGUUAGUAUUUGUUGAUGAAUUAGAACGGGAUAUUUGAUAUUACUCACCUACGGAAA